GGAGGGAGAACCAGUCUAGUACAGCUCCAUUGGAGAGGAGGAGGAGGGAGAACCAGUCUAGUAUAGAUACAUUAGAGAUGAGGAGGAGGGAGAAGCAGUCAAGCAUAGAUACAUUAGAGAGGAGGAGGGAGUACCAGUCUAGUAUAGAUACAUUAGAGAGUAAGAGUGCGAACCAGUCUAGUAUAGAUACAUUAGAGAGGAGGAGGAGGGAGAACCAGUCUCGUAUAGAUACAUUAGAGAGGAGGAGGAGGGAGAACAAGUCAAGCAUAGAUACAUUAGAGAGGAGGAGGUAGAACCAGUCAAGUACAGCUACAUUAGAGAGGAGGAUGAGGGAGAAGCAGUGUAGUAUAGAUACAUUAGUGAGGAGGAGGAGGGAGAACACGUCUAGUAUAGCUACAUUAGAGAGGAGGAGGGAGAACCAGUGUAGUAUACAUACAUUAGAGAGGAGGAGGAGGGAGAACAAGUCUAGUAUAGCUACAUUAGAGAGGAGGAGGGAGUACCAGUCUAGUAUAGAUACAUUAGAGAGUAAGAGUGCGAACCAGUCUAGUAUAGAUACAUUAGAGAGGAGGAGGAGGGAGAACCAGUGUAGUAUAGAUACAUUAGAGAGGAUGAGGAGGGAGAACAAGUCUAGUAUAGCUACAUUAGAGAGGAGGAGGGAGUACCAGUCUAGUAUAGAUACAUUAGAGAGGAGGAGGGAGUACCAGUCUAGUAUAGAUACAUUAGAGAGUAAGAGUGUGAACCAGUCUAGUAUAGAUACAUUAGAGAGGAGGAGGAGGGAGAACCAGUCUAGUAUAGAUACAUAAGAGAGGAGGACGUGCGAGAACCAGUCUAGUAAUG